rnacentral:rRNA from 1 species
UGACCAUGAGUUUAACGGCCGCGGUAUUUUGACCGUGCAAAGGUAGCGCAAUCACUUGUCUUUUAAAUGAAGACCUGUAUGAAUGGCACGACGAGGGCUUAACUGUCUCCUUUUUCCAGUCAAUGAAAUUGAUCUCCCCGUGCAGAAGCGGGGAUGUGAACAUUAGACGAGAAGACCCUAUGGAGCUUUAGACAUCAGGACAGUCCAUGUCAAACACCCCCAUUUAAAGGACUGAACUUAUUGGACCCUGUUCUAAUGUCUUUGGUUGGGGCGACCACGGGGAAACACAAAACCCCCAUGUGGACCAGGAACACUUCUUCCUACAACUAAGAGCUACAGCUCUAAUUAACAGAACUUCUGACCAGAAAUGAUCCGGCAAUGCUGAUCAACGGACCGAGUUACCCUAGGGAUAACAGCGCAAUCCCCUCUUAGAGCCCAUAUCGACGAGGGGGUUUACGACCUCGAU